UACGAAGGGGGCUAGCGUUGCUCGGAAUUACUGGGCGUAAAGGGAGCGUAGGCGGACAGCUAAGUCAGAGGUGAAAGCCCAGGGCUCAACCCUGGAAUUGCCUUUGAUACUGGUUGUCUUGGGUAUGGGAGAGGUGUGUGGAACUCCGAGUGUAGAGGUGAAAUUCGUAGAUAUUCGGAAGAACACCAGUGGCGAAGGCGACACACUGGCCCAUUACUGACGCUGAGGCUCGAAAGCGUGGGGAGCAAACAGG
rnacentral:rRNA from 1 species